UUACGUCUGCAGUAAAAGAGGAUGGGAACCUUCGAAGGAGGUUUGCGCCGAGCGCAGCGAGACAACGUUGCGUAAGCAACGGCCCGCAGGGGAAUAAUCCUCUCUCGCCGACCA
rnacentral:sRNA from 3 species